rnacentral:miRNA from 1 species
UGCAGGUGCUGGGCGGCG